rnacentral:rRNA from 1 species
UACGUAGGGUGCAAGCGUUGUCCGGAAUUACUGGGCGUAAAGAGCUCGUAGGUGGUUUGUCGCGUUGUCCGUGAAAACUCACAGCUUAACUGUGGGCGUGCGGGCGAUACGGGCAGACUGGAGUACUGCAGGGGAGACUGGAAUUCCUGGUGUAGCGGUGGAAUGCGCAGAUAUCAGGAGGAACACCGGUGGCGAAGGCGGGUCUCUGGGCAGUAACUGACGCUGAGGAGCGAAAGCGUGGGGAGCGAACAGG